rnacentral:tRNA from 2 species
GCCCAGGUGGUGGAAUUGGUAGACACGCAGGACUUAAAAUCCUGUGGCCUCACAGCCGUGCGGGUUCAAGUCCCGCCCCGGGUAC